GAUCCUGGCUCAGGAUGAACGCUAGCGGCAGGCUUAAUACAUGCAAGUCGUACGGGAUCCGAGGUAGCAAUACUUUGGUGAGAGUGGCGCACGGGUGCGUAACACGUAUGCAACCUACCUAUAACCGGGACACAACCUCGAGAAAUUGAGGCUAAUAUCCCAUAACACUGCGAGAUGGCAUCAUUUUGCAGUUAAAACUCCGGUGGUUAUAGAUGGGCAUGCGCGACAUUAGCUAGUUGGUGAGGUAACGGCCCACCAAGGCUACGAUGUCUAGGGGUUCUGAGAGGAUUAUCCCCCACACUGGUACUGAGACACGGUCCAGACUCCUACGGGAGGCAGCAGUGGGGAAUAUUGGUCAAUGGGCGAAAGCCUGAACCAGCCAUGCCGCGUGCAGGAUGAAGGCCCUCUGGGUUGUAAACUUCUUUUAUAUGGGACGAAAAAAGGCUUUUCUAAGUCGUCUGACGGUACCAUAUGAAUAAGCACCGGCUAACUCCGUG
rnacentral:rRNA from 1 species